CUUUACCUUUCUCUCGCCUAAGCUCCCAGGGCCCCUUCUAUGUCCUCUGUAGCUUGCUUCCUGAGUUCAUUUCUUUUACUGCUCACUUCUUCUACCUCUGUGAAUUUGUAACUAAACUUUCUCUUACAGUUUGAGUCUUGGCUCCGAACUAUUUCUUAGUCAGAACUCAAGAACUGAGUUUUCAGGACUGAGGUC